rnacentral:rRNA from 1 species
AGUAACGCGUGGAUAACCUGCCUCACACAGGGGGAUAACAGUUAGAAAUGACUGCUAAUACCGCAUAAGCGCACGGCAUCGCAUGAUGCAGUGUGAAAAACUCCGGUGGUGUGAGAUGGAUCCGCGUCUGAUUAGGUAGUUGGUGGGGUAACGGCCCACCAAGCCGACGAUCGGUAGCCGACCUGAGAGGGUGACCGGCCACAUUGGGACUGAGACACGGCCCAA